GAGGGUAUAGCUCAAGUGGUAGAGCGUAUGCUUAGCAUGCAUGAGGUCCUGGGUUCAAUCCCCAGUAGCCUCC
rnacentral:tRNA from 1 species